rnacentral:rRNA from 1 species
UGGCGGACGGGUGAGUAACGCGUAAGAAUCUAACUUCAGGACGGGGACAACAGUUGGAAACGACUGCUAAUACCCGAUGUGCCGCAAGGUGAAACCUAAUUGGCCUGAAGAAGAGCUUGCGUCUGAUUAGCUAGUUGGUGGGGUAAAGGCCUACCAAGGCGACGAUCAGUAGCUGGUCUGAGAGGAUGAGCAGCCACAGUGGGACUGAGACACGGCCCAGACUCCUACGGGAGGCAGCAGUGGGGAAUUUUCCGCAAUGGGCGAAAGCCUGACGGAGCAACGCCGCGUGAGGGAGGAAGGUCUUUGGAUUGUAAACCUCUUUUCUCAAGGAAGAAGUUCUGACGGUACUUGAGGAAUCAGCCUCGGCUAACUCCGUGCCAGCAGCCGCGGUAAUACGGGGGAGGCAAGCGUUAUCCGGAAUUAUUGGGCGUAAAGCGUCCGCAGGUGGUCAGCCAAGUCUGCUGUCAAAUCAGGUCUGCUUAACGACCUAAAGGCGGUGGAAACUGGUCGUACU